ACUCUUCUUUUUUGUACAUUCAAAGAGUUUUCAUUCUACUUCUUACAAUGGCUGCUUCUACAAUGGCUCUUUCCUCCUCUACCUUUGCCGGAAAGGCAGUGAAACUCUCACCAUCUUCCUCUGAAAUCACCGGAAAUGGGAGAAUCACCAUGAGGAAGACUGCUUCCAAGGCCAAGCCUGCCUCCUCUGGUAGCCCAUGGUACGGUCCUGACCGUGUUAAGUACUUGGGCCCAUUCUCUGGUGAAGCCCCAAGCUACUUGACUGGUGAGUUCCCUGGUGACUAUGGAUGGGACACUGCUGGACUUUCAGCUGACCCUGAAACAUUCGCUAAGAACCGUGAAUUGGAGGUGAUUCACUGCAGAUGGGCCAUGCUUGGAGCUCUUGGAUGUGUCUUCCCUGAGCUUUUGGCCCGUAACGGUGUCAAGUUUGGUGAAGCUGUAUGGUUCAAGGCUGGAUCCCAAAUUUUCAGCGAGGGUGGACUCGACUACUUGGGCAACCCAAGCUUGGUCCAUGCACAAAGCAUCUUGGCUAUUUGGGCUUGCCAAGUUGUGUUGAUGGGAGCCGUUGAAGGUUACCGUAUUGCUGGUGGGCCUCUUGGUGAGGUUGUUGAUCCACUUUACCCUGGUGGUAGCUUUGACCCAUUGGGCCUUGCUGACGACCCAGAGGCUUUUGCUGAGCUCAAGGUUAAGGAAAUCAAGAAUGGCAGACUUGCUAUGUUCUCCAUGUUUGGAUUCUUUGUCCAAGCUAUCGUCACCGGAAAGGGUCCAUUGGAGAACCUUGCUGACCACCUUGCUGACCCAGUUAACAACAACGCCUGGGCCUUUGCCACAAACUUCGUUCCCGGAAAAUGAGCUGGAUCCCAGAUUUUCAGCGAGGGUGGACUCGACUACUUGGGCAACCCAAGCUUGGUCCAUGCACAAAGCAUCUUGGCUAUUUGGGCUUGCCAAGUUGUGUUGAUGGGAGCCGUUGAAGGUUACCGUAUUGCUGGUGGGCCUCUUGGUGAGGUUGUUGACCCACUUUACCCUGGUGGUAGCUUUGACCCAUUGGGCCUUGCUGAUGACCCAGAGGCUUUUGCUGAGCUCAAGGUGAAAGAGAUCAAGAACGGCAGACUUGCUAUGUUCUCCAUGUUUGGAUUCUUUGUACAAGCUAUCGUCACCGGAAAGGGCCCAUUGGAGAACCUUGCCGACCACCUUGCUGACCCAGUUAAUAACAACGCUUGGGCCUUUGCCACAAACUUUGUUCCCGGAAAGUGAAGUUUUUGAGAGAGAAAAUGUUACUUCUAGUAUCUUAUUGUUUGAUGACCUUUUAAACCUAGCAAUUGUAAAUUACUAGAGAUUAUAUAUGAAGUUUUUUGCCAUCAGGCUA